UACGGAGGAUCCAAGCGUUAUCCGGAUUUAUUGGGUUUAAAGGGUGCGCAGGCGGAAGAUUAAGUCGGUGGUGAAAUUUUGCAGCUCAACUGUAAAAGUGCCAUUGAUACUGGUUUUCUUGAGUGUGGAUGAAGUAGGCGGAAUUUGUGGUGUAGCGGUGAAAUGCAUAGAUAUCACGAGGAACUCCGAUUGCGCAGGCAGCUUACUAAACCAUAACUGACGCUCAGGCACGAAGGCGUGGGGAUCAAACAGGAUUAGAUA
rnacentral:rRNA from 1 species